rnacentral:rRNA from 1 species
CAGCCGCCGCGGUAAUACGUAGGGUGCGAGCGUUAAUCGGAUUUACUGGGCGUAAAGCGUGCGCAGGCGGCCCGUUAAGACAGGUGUGAAAUCCCUGGGCUCAACCUAGGAAUUGCGCUUGUGACUGGCGGGCUCGAGUACGGUAGAGGGGGGUGGAAUUCCUGGUGUAGCAGUGAAAUGCGUAGAGAUCAGGAGGAACACCGAUGGCGAAGGCAGCCCCCUGGGCCUGUACUGACGCUCAUGCACGAAAGCGUGGGGAGCAAACAGGAUUAGAUACCCUGGUAGUCCACGCCAUAAACGAUGGGUACUAGCCGUUUGGUGCGCGAGAGCGCUGAGUGGCGAAGCUAACGCGUGAAGUACCCCGCCUGGGGAGUACGGCCGCAAGGUUGAAACUUAAAGGAAUUGGCGGG